rnacentral:rRNA from 1 species
GGCUCAGAACGAACGCUGGCGGCGUGCUAACACAUGCAAGUCGAACGCGAAAGGGACUUCGGUCCUGAGUAAAGUGGCGCACGGGUGAGUAACGCGUAGAUAACCUGUCUUCAUGUCUGGAAUAAUACGCCAAAGGGGUACUAAUACCGGAUAUUCUUGCUUUUCAUAAGUUAUGCAAGCAAAGGUGGCCUCUGCAUAUGCUACUGCAUGAAGAGGGGUCUGCGUACCAUUAGCUAGUAGGUGGGGUAAUGGCCUACCUAGGCGACGAUGGUUAGCGGGUCUGAGAGGAUGAUCCGCCACACUGGCACUGGAACACGGGCCAGACUCCUACGGGAGGCAGCAGUGAGGAAUAUUGCGCAAUGGGGGAAACCCUGACGCAGCGACGCCGCGUGAGUUGAGGAAGGCCUUCGGGUCGUAAAGCUCUGUCAAGAGGAAAGAAGUGUACAAUGGCUAAUACCUGUUGUAUUUGACGGUACCUCUAAAGGAAGCACCGGCUAACUCCGUGCCAGCCGCCGC